UGCAAGUCGAACGGAUUAUUCUUUAUAGCUUGCUAUGGAGGAUAAUUAGUGGCAGACGGGUGAGUAAUGCAUAGGAAUCUACCUAGUAGUAUGGGAUAGCCACUAGAAAUGGUGGGUAAUACUGUAUAAUCCCUGCGGGGGAAAGAUUUAUCGCUAUUAGAUGAGCCUAUGUUAGAUUAGCUAGUUGGUAGGGUAUAGGCCUACCAAGGCGAUGAUCUAUAGCUGGUCUGAGAGGAUGAUCAGCCACACUGGAACUGAGAUACGGUCCAGACUCCUACGCGAGGCAGCAGUGGGGAAUAUUGGACAAACGGCGCAAGCCUGAUCCAGCUAUGCCGCGUGAGUGAGGAAGGCCUUAGGGUUGUAAAACUCUUUCAGUAGGGAAGAUAAUGACGGUACCUACAGAAGAAG
rnacentral:rRNA from 1 species